CGACCGCGUUCUCGAUUCUUGGUGAAGUUUCUUCUCUGGCUGCCGCUAGGUUUCCUCUCGAAUCCGGCCGAUCCUCUCUCUCCGCUGGCUGGUCUUGCCGGCUGCGGCGGAUUUGCUCUCCAAUCUGGCCGCUCCUCUCUCUUCGUCGGCGAUCUGGGUAUGGAGGGGUUGUUUCUUUGGCGGGAUUUCUUCGCCGGUUCGUUCGGCCGGCGUGGCCUGCUGGUUUACCCGAGGUACCUUCAUUCUUCUUGAUUUUUUCCUCUUUCUCUUUCGGACGGCUCUGCGUUGAUGGUCUAUCUGCGUGCUGCUCUUUGUUCUUUGUACCUACUGUAUUGUAUAAGAAACGGCCGUGUUCUAAUCGAUUGUUGUUGUGGAGUCGACAUACUGCUCGGAGGCGGCAGCGUUGGGAUCCGUCUAUCCGGCAUGCUUCACAGUUGGGGGCAUUGAUUCCGGGCGGUGCUGGUGGUGGGUUGCUGGUUACUGCUCUUCCUCUUCACUGAAGGUUCUCUUUUUUGUUCCUAGAUGGCGGCUCUUCUGUUGCCAACACACACAAACGCCUCAGCAGCACCUACUUCAUAAGUUGUUCAUGUAGGGCCACUGGAGACUAAGCUCCCACCUGCACUUUUGGACGAACUUGUGCCAUUGCAUCUAGGCAUGCACCGGCAGAGGCAAAUGGUGUAGAGGACCAGGGCUCAUCAAGCAACAAGAAUGCACGGUCGGGGCAUGUGCUGACACAGCUCAUUCACGUCACGACGAAGUUCUAGACCGGCGACAUUCACCUCUACACGAUGGAUCCCGUGCCUCUGAUCAUGUUGCUGAUCGCGCCCGACACACGGUCUUUUUCGUGGCAGGGGUAAACUCAUGGAUACUGCAGUUUACACCCUCGCUAAUUUGAGUAAUUUCAACCUUGACUGUCUUUUCUGCCUGAAAUUGUUGUGCUAAAUCUCCUUACCCGAAACCGUUUUAGCGUUAACCUAUUCUGUUUAGAUUUAGCUGACCAUGCGUGCAUUAUGAUGACUCUGUUUUGUUUACACAUCUUCGGUUAGAAAUAGAAAUUUAGUUUUGAGUGAAUAAUUUGCUUAGCCUAUGCUCCCUUCGUCUAGCUUACCUAGCAGUUCAGUUACUACUGUCUUACUGUCAUCCUGCAUGGCAAACAGUGACGCAUUUCUGCUUUACUGGCCCCUUGGCUGAUGCUCCCCGUGUGUCUGAAACUUUCUAUCACAAAUACAGGCUAUGUAUUCAUGGUUCCUAGACCUGCCGUCAAGUUUGGGCAUACACACGAUUUGGAAAGAAAGAACGUAGGAUUCUACUGAGGUUCUGUGCAACACAUUUAGCUUGGCAACAUGUGAGAAAAUUGCACGAUUGAAUUUGAAACAUUUGUCAAAGGUGAAUGCAAUUUUGAUGUGGACAUCAAGUGCAGCAGCACGAAUUCGCCUCCUUGGUUCAACAACAGCUAUUGACUGCAUCUAAUCACCAUCUCUUGCAGGUCGAUCAUACAGUGUACCUAUUGCGGCUGAUUAUCCUUCAGCACAUUUGAGCCGCCCUUCAGUUGCCCAUCAAUUCCAUCCAUACCAUCCGCCAUAGCAAUGGCCCUUCGAGGGGUAUAUCAGCAUAGGGAUACUGCCGGAUGGUGUCAACUCCUAGACGUCAGCCGUCCCAAGGUUCUUCCAUGGCGACCACAUGCCCACCGAGUUUGCCGCUGUGGAGUGUGUAUGGGAGAGCACACACAAGACUGUCAAAGUUGAGAAUCAUUCCCCAAACAACAGGUGGAUCAGCUCUAUGCAGCAUCGUUGACUUACCAGCCACCCCACCAGGGCGUGGCAAGAAAAGGCGCAGCGUCAGUCCAACUAUCUACAAAUAUUUAGAGGGAGGCUGCCUAGAAUAACUAAUUAGAAAUAGAAAGAAAAAUAAAAUACUUUCUCUGAUCCAAAUUAACUGGCGCAGCGAUAUACUAUGUAUUAUCAGCUCCCAUUACACAAAUUAAGUAAUACUUUUUUUUGCCCAA